rnacentral:rRNA from 1 species
CCAAUAGGGUAGUAAUCCCAGUAUACAUUCUAAGGUCUAGUUACUGUUAAAUCCAUCUUUUUAUUAAUUUUUACAAUUAGUAUGCGCUUAAAUGAAAAUUGUAGCUCAUUAUUUCAAUAAUAUACGCUGCACCAAGGCCUGUUUUUGUUGAUAUAGGAUCAAAUUAUUAGAACUUUUUAGUGAUUAAUUUUUACGGCGGUAUACAUGCAUAUUUAUAGUAAGUUAUUCGUGUGGUGUCGUUUACACAACAAGCUCCUCUAAUUUAGUGAAUUGCCGCCAAAUUCUUUGGGUUUAGAAAAUUUAAUAUAUACUACCCUCCAGUAGUUUUUUCAGGAAUAAUAGGGUAUCUAAUCCUAGUUUAA